AAGUCGUAACAAGGUUUCCGUAGGUGAACCUGCGGAAGGAUCAUUAUAGAUUGCUCUCUGAGCUCCAUCUCUGUGCACCGUGGCCUCGGCCUACACACAACUGUCUGAAUGUAUCUUGUAUGAGAAUAAAAUAAAACUUUCAACAACGGAUCUCUUGGCUCUC
rnacentral:misc_RNA from 1 species